GACGAACGCUGGCGGCGUGCUUAACACAUGCAAGUCGAACGAAGUGGCGAACGGGUGAGUAAUACGUGGGUAACCUGCCCUUCAGAGGGGGACAACAGUUGGAAACGACUGCUAAUACCGCAUACUGAAGGAGGGGAUUGCGUCUGAUUAGCUAGUUGGAGGGGUAACGGCCCACCAAGGCGAUGAUCAGUAGCCUGUCUGGGAGGAUGAACGGCCACAUGGGGACUGGGACACGGCCCAGACUCCUACGGGAGGCAGCAGUGGGGAAUCUUCCGCAAUUGACGAAAGUCUGACGGAGCAACGCCGCGUGAGUGAUGACGGCCUUCGGGUUGUAAAGCUCUGUUAAUCGGGACGCGGUACCGGAAUAGAAAGCCACGGCUAACUACGUGCCAGCCGCCGCGGUAAUAC
rnacentral:rRNA from 1 species